rfam:Dipodomys ordii contig_64641, whole genome shotgun sequence.
GGGAAUGUGGCUCAGUGGUCGAGUGCUUGCCUAGCAUGCAUGAAGCCCUGGGUUCGAUUUCUCAGUACCA